rnacentral:tRNA from 1 species
GCCUCUUUAGCAUAGUGGUAGUGCGUUCCCUUCGUGAGGGAAAGGUCGCGAGUUCGAUCCUCACCGGGGGCU